AAGGAGGGGUAUAUGAUUGUGGUGAAGUCGAAAGCAGGUAACGAAUAUGGAAUUCCACGUGUAGCGGUGAAAUGCGUAGAGAUGUGGAGGAACACCAGUGGCGAAGGCGACUCUCUGGUCUGUAACUGACGCUGAGGCGCGAAAGCGUGGGGAGCGAACAGGAUUAGAUACCCUGGUAGUCCACGCCGUAAACGAUGAGUGCUAAGUGUUAGAGGGUUUCCGCCCUUUAGUGCUGCAGCUAACGCAUUAAGCACUCCGCCUGGGGAGUACGGUCGCAAGACUGAAACUCAAAGGAAUUGACGGGGGCCCGCACAAGCGGUGGAGCAUGUGGUUUAAUUCGAAGCAACGCGAAGAACCUUACCAGGUCUUGACAUCCUUUGCCACUUCUAGAGAUAGAAGGUUCCCCUUCGGGGGACAAAGUGACAGGUGGUGCAUGGUUGUCGUCAGCUCGUGUCGUGAGAUGUUGGGUUAAGUCCCGCAACGAGCGCAACCCUUGAUCUUAGUUGCCAGCAUUCAGUUGGGCACUCUAAGGUGACUGCCGGUGACAAACCGGAGGAAGGUGGGGAUGACGUCAAAUCAUCAUGCCCCUUAUGACCUGGGCUACACACGUGCUACAAUGGAUGGUACAAAGGGCUGCGAGACCGCGAGGUUUAGCCAAUCCCAUAAAACCAUUCUCAGUUCGGAUUGCAGGCUGCAACUCGCCUGCAUGAAGCUGGAAUCGCUAGUAAUCGCGGAUCAGCAUGCCGCGGUGAAUACGUUCCCGGGCCUUGUACACACCGCCCGUCACACCACGAGAGUUUGCAACACCCGAAGUCGGUGGGGUAACCGCAAGGAGCCAGCCGCCUAAGUGGGGUAGAUGAUUGGGGUGAAGUCGUACAGG
rnacentral:rRNA from 2 species